rnacentral:rRNA from 1 species
CGCUAGCUACAGGCUUAACACAUGCAAGUCGAGGGGCAGCAUGAACUUAGCUUGCUAAGUUUGAUGGCGACCGGCGCACGGGUGAGUAACACGUAUCCAACCUGCCGAUGACUCGGGGAUAGCCUUUCGAAAGAAAGAUUAAUACCCGAUGGCAUAGUUCUUCCGCAUGGUAGAACUAUUAAAGAAUUUCGGUUAUCGAUGGGGAUGCGUUCCAUUAGGCAGUUGGUGAGGUAACGGCUCACCAAACCUUCGAUGGAUAGGGGUUCUGAGAGGAAGGUCCCCCACAUUGGAACUGAGACACGGUCCAAACUCCUACGGGAGGCAGCAGUGAGGAAUAUUGGUCAAUGGGCGCAGGCCUGAACCAGCCAAGUAGCGUGAAGGAUGACUGCCCUAUGGGUUGUAAACUUCUUUUAUAUGGGAAUAAAGUUUUCCACGUGUGGAAUUUUGUAUGUACCAUAUGAAUAAGGAUCGGCUAACUCCGUGCCAGCAGCCGCGGUAAUACGGAGGAUCCGAGCGUUAUCCGGAUUUAUUGGGUUUAAAGGGAGCGUAGGUGGACAGUUAAGUCAGUUGUGAAAGUUUGCGGCUCAACCGUAAAAUUGCAGUUGAUACUGGCUGUCUUGAGUACAGUAGAGGUGGGCGGAAUUCGUGGUGUAGCGGUGAAAUGCUUAGAUAUCACGAAGAACUCCGAUUGCGAAGGCAGCUCACUGGACUGCAACUGACACUGAUGCUCGAAAGUGUGGGUAUCAAACAGGAUUAGAUACCCUGGUAGUCCACACAGUAAACGAUGAAUACUCGCUGUUUGCGAUAUACAGUAAGCGGCCAAGCGAAAGCAUUAAGUAUUCCACCUGGGGAGUACGCCGGCAACGGUGAGACUCAAAGGAAUUGACGGGGGCCCGCACAAGCGGAGGAACAUGUGGUUUAAUUCGAUGAUACGCGAGGAACCUUACCCGGGCUUAAAUUGCAUUUGAAUAUAUUGGAAACAGUAUAGCCGUAAGGCAAAUGUGAAGGUGCUGCAUGGUUGUCGUCAGCUCGUGCCGUGAGGUGUCGGCUUAAGUGCCAUAACGAGCGCAACCCUUAUCUUUAGUUACUAACAGGUCAUGCUGAGGACUCUAGAGAGACUGCCGUCGUAAGAUGUGAGGAAGGUGGGGAUGACGUCAAAUCAGCACGGCCCCUACGUCCGGGGCUACACACGUGUUACAAUGGGGGGUACAGAAGGCAGCUACCUGGUGACAGGAUGCUAAUCCCAAAAGCCUCUCUCAGUUCGGAUCGAAGUCUGCAACCCGACUUCGUGAAGCUGGAUUCGCUAGUAAUCGCGCAUCAGCCAUGGCGCGGUGAAUACGUUCCCGGGCCUUGUACACACCGCCCGUCAAGCCAUGAAAGCCGGGGGUACCUGAAGUACGUAACCGCAAGGAGCGUCCUAGGGUAAAACUGGUAA